rnacentral:rRNA from 1 species
CCUACGGGAGGCAGCAGUGGGGGAUAUUGCACAAUGGGGGAAACCCUGAUGCAGCGACGCCGCGUGAGUGAAGAAGCGCCUCGGCGCGUAAAGCCCUGUCAGCAGGGAAGAAAAUGACGGUACCUGACGAAGAAGCCCCGGCUAACUACGUGCCAGCAGCCGCGGUAAUACGUAGGGGGCAAGCGUUAUCCGGAUUUACUGGGUGUAAAGGGGGCGCAGACGGCGAUGCAAGCCUGGAGUGAAAGGCCGGGGCCCAACCCCCGGACUGCUCUUGGAACUGCGAGGCUGGAGUGCAGGAGGGGAAGGUGGAAUUCCUGGUGUAGCGGUGAAAUGCGUAGAUAUUAGGAGGAACACCGGUGGCGAAGGCGGCUUGCUGGACUGUAACUGACGUUGAGGCUCGAAAGCGUGGGGAGCAAACAGGAUUAGAUACCCCUGUAGUC